rnacentral:tRNA from 1 species
GAAAUAUUUAAAAAUUAAGCUUCUAACUUAAUGAAAAGCGAAUAAUAACCGUUUAUGUUUCU